CCACACCCAGGUCUGCCUGGUAUGUAGCCACAACAUAGGGUUGGUGGAGCUACAGUCUAGGUAGAGAGAAGAAGGCCCUGUCUGUGGCCAGGGUCGGGGCUGAGUCUGUAACUGGGAAGGCACCCCAGGGAGGAGCAUGCUCAGCAGGAAGUGGACAGAGUAGGGGCAUGGAGGAAGGAGCACCAGCCAUGUGUCUCCAGUCAGGAAAGCCUCCUGGAGGAGGCAGUGAAGGGGGAAGAGGAGGAGAGGAGGGCCUUGCCAGCAGCCUGAGCACUGGUAAUGAAGCAGGUAGGCCCAGCUGUUUCCAGAUGCACAUGGUCUGCACCCAGGAGGGUCAGAGCAUGAAGCUGGAGGGGCAGGCAGGGAGACACUGAGAGGGGGGCACCAUGGCAUCAGAAAAGAGCCCCUGGCAGCUGUGCGAGGAUGGCCUCGGAGUUCUGAUUGGUUCCGCUGGCUGUUCUUAAGGAAAGAGAUGAGGAUCUAAAUUACUAUAGAAACUGAGGGGUGGAGAGGAAUGAGGAAGAGGGGAUGAAGCCUUAAGACACCAAAGCGUUAGAACUCACCAGAUGAGAGGGCCAAUAAGAUGCCCUGGACAGAAGGAGUGGUCAGGGGUGGCUCAGCCUCUGGUGUGGAUGAUGGCUUACAGUGUGACUGUGAGCUAAGAUGUAGCAUUCAAGUGGAGGAAUGUGCUGGUGAGAGAAAGACAAGUUUGGUUUGGGACAAAUGAGUGUGAGGGCCCCAGCCUCUUGGCUGGCCAGUGAACACUUCCAAGAACCUUCAUACUUAAUACCUCUAUCACUCCUCCACUCAACAGAAGGUUGGAACAGCAUUCUACAGCAUUCCAGGAUGUGGAGGGGGCAGCAGUGUUUGUGUGCAGAGUGGCGAGGCCGACCUCCGAUGAGCUUCCCGUAGGAAGGGUGCAGUGGGGGGUGCUCACCCUGCCCAGGGAUGCUAUCUGCUCCAGGACUUGUUUAUCAGCCCACGGGGUGAUCGGCAUGACAUCAAUGGAUAUGCCAGGCUGCAGGCUACAGUGCCGAGAAGGAGAAGACGGAGGCGGUGGUGAUGUCACCCAAGGAAUUAAGUAAGCAGGGGAGCUGAUAACAUCGUCCAGCCAGGCUCACUGUGGGCAGGGUGACUCACUGAAGACGGCCUGCGAUCGCCAGGUGAUUGUUGUUGUGCCCAGCCUGUGGGGCUGGGGAGGAGGAAGGGGGGCAGGCCACAGAGCUGUGACAAGUUCCUCACCGAGGCCCCUGCUCAGGGGAGAGACCUCAGUACACAGUGUCCUCCACCUCUGAGCCCGGGGCUGGCUCAGGAAACAGCCCCCCUCUGCCUGUGCGAUUAUCUUUGUCCACAGUGUUUGGUGUGUGUUUGUGGGGUGUGUCAGGUGAUUUUCCUGCCCGAAGCCUGCUGGGUGCUCCAGGUACUAGCGAUUGCUCACAGCAGAGCAGUAGCCCCCUCCCUGGUUGGACAACUGUCUGUGGAGACAACACCGGAUGGCAAACUGCUAACCGCAACCACGUGGCGUCCUUACAGAGGGAACAGCCUGUUCCUCCCGCUGAGGGCACCUGCAGACCUGCCCCAUUCAUGGCUCCCUUCUCCCUCAGUCCCUGCUGAGGGGAUGGUCCCUUCCCACCCUUAAGGGCACCAUGGACUGUUGUCCAAGUUGAGAACUGUCCAACUGCAGGGGGCACCAUUCACUUGGCAGUCUUCGUGCCAGAUGCUAUGGCUGUCCACAGUGGCCCUGCCCCUUCCCUUUUGUAAAUUACUUCUCAGUUCCCUCCUCCACCAGAAUUAUCACACCAAACUUUCCCCCAUGUAUGCUUGCUUCUUUAUCACCUGACACUCUCAUUCAUUCAUUCCACAAAAAAAUUGUGGCGUUUGUGCAAGGUACUAUUCUAGGCAAGGGAACAAGACAGACCCUCCUGGAGCUCAUGGAGUUCAUAUUCUAGCAUGGGGGAGAACCAAUAAAUAAAUAAUUGGAUACAUAAAACUGCAAGUGACAAUAAGUGCUACAAAGAAAACUAAAGCCAGCCCAGGAUAGAGGGUGAUAGUGCCCUACUUCAGCUAGGACUGCCAGAAAGGCUUCUCUGUGGGGAGGUGGCCUCUGAGGGGAGACCUGGAGGCAGCAAAGGAGGAAGCCUUCCCGGCAGAGCCCCUCCCAUUGGCACCCAAUGCCAAAAGAAGUUUCUAUAACCCGUCCUGGUUCUGCCAGGAGCCUGCGGCAUGGCCUGGGGCGCUCAAUUCCCAGUGCAGGGUGUCUAUUUCUUCCCCCAACAAACAAGAGGCCUAGUCGCAUAGUCUCUUCCAGCACAAAUUCACCCACCUGUCGGCUUGAGGAACAUGACAGGAAUCUGGGUUGGAAGGCCAACUCAGCCACCCACAAGCUGUGUCAUCUUGAGCAGGUUACUCAGCCUCUCUGAGCCAGUUUUCUUUCCUAUAAAAUGUCAGGGAAUUGUGGAGGAUUAAAUGAGGUUGUGGAACUGAAACCACCUGGCACAGGUGCUAUCUAUGAAGUGAGUGCUUCAUAGAUAUUUUCUGGGGCUGCGCCUAGGUGAGGUGGGGCGAGGUGGGGCCUGGGGGUGCGGUGAGGAGGCGGCUUCCACUGGAGGAGCCUGGAGAAGGCAAUGCUGACCCCAAGACGCAAAGCUCUGGUGGCUGCCCAGGUCUGCAGUGG
rnacentral:lncRNA from 1 species